ACUUUUCCCUCCUUUCUGCCGCAUACAUUAAUGCUGAUCUCAGGAGCUCAUUUUUGCACCCUUUGUGGCAGACAACCAUAUAAUCAAAGGGUUCCCAUUGCUAAAUCAUUUGAAAAGACAAGUAGAAAUUAGCUUUAGCUAAUUUAACUAGCCUUUGCCCCUCCUCCUGACCCUGAGGGUGAAGCACAUUUUAUCAUUCAUCCUUUGCGGGCUGGCUUAUGCUGGCUCCCUUUCCUUUGGCAGUGAUUUUAAGCAACCAAGUUCUUAUUACAAUUCUCAAAUUUAAAAUUAAGUUCUGAUCACAUCUUCUCAGGGCAUACCUAAGAGGCACUGUUUAUCCCCAGCCAAAUAAAUUGUUUCCUCAAGUGACUCAUUCCUGAAAAUGUUAUUGUUUCUAAUAACCAGCUCAAAUAUGUAUUUUCAUUAAUCUUUUCUUUUACCUCCAUUUCACACGUGUUGCUGCAUGUCAGGCAGUUUCCACAAGGAUCUGCCAUGACAUCAUUGUGUGAGGUAUGAAAUUUUUUUUUUUUUUUUCUAAUUUAAGAAUUACUUUUACUCAGAUGGUGGCUGGGCUGGGAAAUGUUCCCCGUUGCCCUGGGAGUUUUAAGCCAAGGCUUGUGUGUGUGUGUGUGUGUGUGUGUGUGUGUGUUGGAAGGGUCUCUCAUUGCCUGUUUCUGCUUAUAUAACACACACUGGUUUAGGUAGGUGGAGUCAGAAUGGGAAGAGGAAGUUCCCUAAGUGUUUCUUGCAUGCAAAGGUAAGCGGAGAAUGCCCAUCUGGGCACACAGGGCAAGGAUGCAGUGGAGUGACCUCUCCUUUCCCCUCCAACUCACAUGCUGGAGUUUAAAAACUGUAUCAGGAUGACAGAAACCAAGGGGCAAGACCACAGCUUCCUCCGGGGAUCUUCUAUAAACUGUAAGAACAAACACAGGUAUUUUGUAGUUCUUUAUCACAACGGGUCCUUUGCUGAUGAUUCUAGGUUUUAUGACUGCUGUUUUAUGUCCUACAAAUAGUAACAGGCAUUUCCCUUUGCCCUACACCACAGUAAGCCACUGGCCUAGACAAGAAGCAACUCUGCACUGCUUUUCAAACAUCAUCCUCCCUCUCGACCACAGGGACUAUUUGGUUUCUAUUCUACUUCUGGCCUUUCAUAUUCCUGAUGGUGCAUUGGAUGAAACCCAGCAGCCAGGCGUGUGAACGUGGUUGAAAAGACCCAUGGAGGACCAGCAACGCUUCCCCACAGCAUGGGAUGGUCCCCUCCUGAGAUGGCCCACUGUCAGCGGGACUGAUGCCAAGCACUGCAUCCUGUCUGCUUCUUGAACAGCCCCUUCAUUGUUUGUUCAGCUAUUCUGCUGCAUCUGCAGAUAGCCCCGCCUGAGAAACAGCCUCAAACCAGAGGGAGAGGAUGACGGCAAGCCUUAGAGAAACAUAUGUCAAGCCUUUUUUUGUAUGGAGAGUGAAAAGUCUUGUUGGGAUGGUGAUGUGGCUGUGACCGAUACUGCCGUGAUCUCGCACACACAUGAACUUAACUAAUUUCCUGGAAUUUUCAAAAGAAUUUACUGGAAAAGAAAAGCAACAAAACAAGCCAAUAACCUCACAAAACCAUUAGGUACUCAGGGUUUCUGGAAGGGCAGCUCUAAGUGCACAGUCUAUAUCCAAUUUGCGCUGUCAUCUUGGAAUGGGAAGAACGUUGGAAUGACAAGUUAGAUUGAAAAGCUGUUAAAAGCCAGAAAAAUAACGAGUGUCUAAUCCAUAAAUGGAAAACUGUCAGUCCCUUAUGUCUUUCUAAGACUUGGCUUCAUGGUAAUUCAAGCACAACUCCUGAGUUUUCAACCACCCCUUAAUUGCACAGAAAAUAAACCAUUCAGAGAAGAGGAACAAUGGACCUCACUUUGGUGUCUGCAGUGGGUAAAUUUGGAUAAUAUAAUUUAUUUAGGAGAUCUGUACAGAGGUAUGCAUCUACAGAUGUAAAACCUGGCUGGUGAUUUUGGAAGUUAAAUCCCUUUGCUUUAUGAUGAUGACCUUCAAUGACCUUGCUCUGGGCAUCACACUGGAACGUGUAUCCCUGGAUAACAAAAAGAUCCCUGGGAAAAUUAUCACUCUGCUGCCUGUAUCCCACCCUCCCCUGCUUACUAUCAAGGAUUUGUGUCUGAGUAGUUGGCCUCCUAGGCUAAGAGAGCUGUCUCAAAGCUUGGGGUUUCCAUGGCUUCUCUUUCUCCAUGCUGAGAUCUGGGAACCCCAAUGAAGUCUAAAUGGCAGCUGGUGGUUGUUGGUUACGUUAAGGGAAAGCCUCAGAGAAACGUGGAAUGUAUAAAAGCUACUACAGCAUGGAAGCCAGCGGAUCCCCUCUGAUUCUGGACUCAAACACUGUAGGAGCCCUCUGUCAUGCCAUAAAAACAGCUGUGAGCAGCAAGCCUGGGGACACAGAUUUGCAUCGACAACUCACGCACUCACAGCAGUCUUAGGAACGCCGGCUUUUGAUAUCUCGGUAAAGGCUUCUUGCUGAGAAGUUUCCAGUGCUAUGCCAAGUAGAUCAGAGAGGUGUUUUCUUCUCUGCCUAUCUCACUGCAGCCUUGACCAUGUAGCUGAGGAUGGUUAGACCUCAGAAAUGAGGUCUGCUCCAUCAAGUCUCCAUCAAUGCCCUGCUCUAUUUAUCCUCCCCCUGCUGGGCAUCCUGGCUUCUUUUAUUGCUGCCCAUGUAGAUGCACUCAGAAAGGCACACACUAUUGCCUGCUGCAGAAAUAUUCACAGUUCCUGGAAAACCAAGUCAACAGAGCAUGCAGUGGGGAUGUCAAAAGAGCAUCAGGGAGGACUUAGAGCUUGGGCUCUGACCUUGACUCUGGCAUGACCUCACUGAAUGACCUUGGGCAAGACUCAUCACCUCUCAAGGGUUCAGAGAAACUGGGGUGAACUAGUAUGAUGGCUUCAAAACUGGGCUCUUGGGGAACAUAGUGGCAUGUGACUGUGGUCCCAGCUACUUGGAGGCUGAAGCAGGAGGAUUGCUUGAGCCCGGGAGUUUGAGGCUGCAGUGAGCUAUGAUUGCACCACUGCAUUCUAGCCUGGGUGACAAAGUGAGACCCUGUCUCAAAAAAAACCAAAACACAAAAACAAAAGCAAAAACAACCCCUGGUCUCUUGGCUCUUUGGAGUCUGCUCAGGGGGCUGCUGGGAAGUGGAGACAGGGCAGAGAGAGGGGCAUUCUAGCAUCUUUAAACCAUCCCAAGCAGAGCAGGUCCACUUUGGUGUGUUCACUGUUUUACUUACUGGGGUUCCUGAAAAGCUUUUAUUUGAGGAAAGGGUUACAAGGCUUAAACGUUUUCAAAACCACUUAAGUAGAUGAUCUCCCACUUACCAAGUUCUGAUUAUAUGAUUUUCCCUGAUUGUUAGUUUUGGGACAUUUUGCAAAGUGUUUUGUUGAUGGCUGAUGUAGCAGGCUCUUGAAUGAAUUUUGCAUUCAAUAAUUAUUUUUCAUUAAUAGCAUAUAUUAAAGACUAUAAAGAGACAGAUAAUGACUUUUUGUCACUUCUUCUAGA